ACCCUGCACCUUCCCCGAUAAAAUGAUGCGAGUCACAACCCCCACCAGCCACUUACAUUUGCCAGUGAAUCAUAGUUCUCAUCAACUUGAAGUUGACAGAGGGAUACAAUGGAAGUACGCCAAACUCCUCCUUCAUCCUAUCUUGGAUGGUCCAUCUUUAAUACUUUUUGCUGUUGUCUGCCUCUCGGGAUUGCAGCUAUUAUCUAUUCUAGCAAGGUAGAGUCGGCAAAUGGACGCGGAGACAUCGACAGAGCUGAAGAUGCAUCAAAAACAGCCAAGACGCUGAACAUCGCCGGACUCAUCUGUGGAAUAAUUAUUAUCAUCAUUUAUGUCUCCAUCAAAUUUACUGAACAAAAGUGAAGCUUCUGGUAUUUCCCAGAAGGCGCACUGCAAUUCCAGCCAUUUUAUGCCCUCUGCUUUCGCUCUUCAACGUUCACCACUAGAUAUGGACUGACGUCUUUAUGUGUGGCGUGUACGUUACCAGUAAAAAGCAAAACAAUUCUUUGCUUUCAUGGUGCAAGCCAAAAGUUGUUGUCAAAUGAGAAGCCUCAAUUAAGUUUUGAUUUUCAUGUGCAUAAACUUGAUUUUUUUUUUUUUUUUUUUUUAUUGCUUAAUUUGCUUAGAUUUUUUUUCAAGUAAUCUCUUAAAGAAAACUGAGAAGGAAAAAAAUAAAUAUUUAGCCCCCCAUAAAUUUGGCAUAAUAAAACACAAUAUGAACUUUUUAAAGUUUUAUUGUCGAUACUGUUAUUGUUGGUCUCAUUGCAUUUACCGUUUAUAAUCUUAUUUCAGAGAUUUGUUUUUCUGUUUGUACAACUCCUUCAGAAUGCAUUAUAAUAAAUGCACAGUUUGUCAGACACAUAGUAAAUUUAGCCUUUAUUGUAUUUAUUUCUUAAAUAGAUUUGAGAUUUUCCUAUAUAUUUAACAUUAUCAUGAAAAUGUGAAACGCAUGCACUAUGUUCAACCAGGCUGGUCUUCAGCUUUUUCUGUGGCUUCAGAACUCUUCUCUCUCAGAAGUUCUUCAAGAUGAGAGAAUAAAGAUGUUUCUCUGUGCUUCCUCUG